rnacentral:lncRNA from 1 species
UCUUGGUGGAAGGAUCCCAGUUAGUGUCCUUCACAGCUGUGACUGGCAUAUGGAAGAAACCUGGAAAAAGGACAUGUCUCUUCGCUGAUGACAUGCCCCAAAGACUUAUUUCUAAAGAACCAGUUCCUACUGUUGCAUUCCUUCCUACUGCUAAAGAAAUUCCCUAGGUUGUCCUGGGUCCUGAGAUUACAUCUUUCUCAAGUAAUGUGUAAAACAGACACCCUGACUCUUUCCGUAUCCUAAGCUGACACCCUUGAAGAGUUGAUGAUGGUGUAAAGUUUGAAGAUGGAGCAAAUAUAUCUGUGGACUCUUUUGCACAUUACUUUCCCCCCCUCUAUUCAGGGUAGAAAUAGGGCUGGUGGACGGAAGCUACCAAAAAAUAUUUUAAUCAAUACUAAUAAAAACUUUCUAAAAAUGAGGGUAACAAAAAAGAUGGGAGCUGCUUCCUGGAGUGGCACUGAGUGGUUCCUGACAUAUUGUAGAUUUCUCAAUAAAUUACUAACUCUUAUAUAUCUUACAGUUGUUUCAAAAACUUUCAGAGUAAGAAAGUAUCAAGGUUAUGCUGGCCUCACCAAAGUGAUUUAGAAAACAUUAUAUCUUUUUCUAUACUCAGGAAGAGAGUACAU